rnacentral:rRNA from 1 species
UACGGGGGGGGCAAGCGUUGUUCGGAAUUACUGGGCGUAAAGGGCUCGUAGGCGGCCAACUAAGUCAUACGUGAAAUCCCUCGGCUUAACCGGGGAACUGCGUCUGAUACUGGAUGGCUUGAGAUUGGGAGAGGGAUGCGGAAUUCCAGGUGUAGCGGUGAAAUGCGUUGAUAUCUACAGGAACUCCGGUGGCGAAAGCGGCGUGCUGGAUCUCUUCUGACGCUGAGGCUCGAAAGCUAGGGGAGCAAACGGG